ACACGGGGAGGUAGUGACAAUAAAUACUGAUACAGGGCUCUUUUGGGUCUUGUAAUUGGAAUGAGUACAAUUUAAAUCCCUUAACGAGGAACAAUUGGAGGGCAAGUCUGGUGCCAGCAGCCGCGGUAAUUCCAGCUCCAAUAGCGUAUAUUAAAGUUGUUGCGUCUAAAAAGCUCGUAGUUUGAAAACUUGCCUUGGCUUACAACAGACGUCUAAGGGCGUCACCGUUUGUCGAGAGCAAAUAUGGGUGACUGUUCUUGCCUUCUUCACUGAUUGGCUCGUAAAAGUCAUCGAAGAUCACUUUGAUUAAAUUAGGGUGCUCAAAGCAAGUGUGCUACUUGAAUAUGAAUGCAUGGAAUGAUGGAAUAUGUUGUUGUUCUAUUUGUUGGUUUUUUGAAUGACGAAAUGAUUGAAAGGAACUGUUGGGGGCAUUCGUAUUGUUGUGAGAGAGGUGAAAUUCUUAGACCAUAGCAAGACGAACUACUGCGAAAGCAUUUGCCAAGAAUGUUUUCAUUGAUCAAGAACGAAAGUUAGAGGUUCGAAGGCGAUCAGAUACCGCCCUAGUUCUAACCAUAAACUAUGCCGACUAGCAAUUUGCUUUGUAUUUUUAUGACUAAGUGAGAGGCCACGGGAAACCAAAGUAGGGUUAUGGGGGAAGUAUGGUUGCAAAGCUGAAACUUAAAGGAAUUGACGGAAGGGCACCACCAGGAGUGGAGCCUGCGGCUUAAUUUGACCCAACACGGGAAAACUUACCUGGUCCUAACACUAGAAGGAUUGACAGAUUGAUAGCUCUUUCUUGAUUUGGUGGAUGGUGGUGCAUGGCCGUUCUUAGUUGGUGGAGUGAUUUGUCUGGUUAAUUCCGAUAACGAACGAGACUCUAGCCUAUUAAAUAAUAUGCGGAAUCAAUUUCUCCCGCGUUAUUUCUUAAUGGGAUCAAGCGUGUUUAACGCUUUGAAACAGAGCAAUAACAGGUCUGUGAUGCCCUUAGAUGUUCGGGGCUGCACGCGCGCUACAUUGAAGAACAAAGUGAGCCCUCUGGCUUUUAACAAAGCUAGAAAUCUUUUAAUGUUCUUCUUAAUGGGGAUAGGGGAUUGCAAUUGUGCCCCUUGAACGAGGAAUUCCCAGUAAGUGCUAGUCAUUAGCUAGUACUGAUUACGUCCCUGCCCUUUGUACACACCGCCCGUCGCUACUACCGAUUGAAUAGUUUAGUGAGAUCAUCUGAGUGUUUGUAUGUGCAUUCUGUGCUUGUAUGGUGUACGAAGAAGAUCAAACUUGAUUAUUUAGAGGAAGUAAAAGUC
rnacentral:rRNA from 1 species